AUGGGGUCUGGACACCUGUUUUCAGACCCGUUGACGUUUUUCGGAACUUUAUCCGAACGUGUCGAGUUGAUAUCAUACGGCUCGUCGGAUACAUGGUAGUCCAUAUUUCUUCGGUUUCUUUUCUUGAGAUAUUUUCAACAGAGGAAGCAACAUUACAGUCGUCAAGAAUUCUUUCGUAGAGUUCUUCGCAGUCGGAUUUGUAUCUUACCUGAGACCGAAAUGCAAGAACAAUAUUAAAUUAUUGUUCUGUGAAGAGAGGGAGAUGUAGGGUAGGGGAUGCUCACCCGCUAUCAAGUACACCAUAAGCAUAUGGUGAACCAGACCCGACUUAGAACAGCGUUCUCCUUCGCUGUCUAUGUAAUACAGACCCGGGCCCUACAAAAUGUAAAAUAAGUGGCAAACUUUAAAUGGAUCCACAGGGAUGAAAAUGACAUUUUUAAUCUUAAAUAUAUAGCUUAAAAGAAAACGGUUCAAAUGGUUUGAAAGGUGGCUGAUGUAGUGAACUUGUGAUAUGUAUUUUUAAUAAAUAAAACCUUCUGAAUCAUUUUAAUAAAAAAGCACGUUAUUGUUGGAUUCAUAUAAUUUCAGUAACCAUAUUUAACACACAAAAUAAACCAUUUUUUUACCCGUUACCCUGUAUAAACAGAAAAACUGAAUAAUCAGAAAAUGCAUGUUUCAUUUUUCUCAUUACGUACUCAUUCCUGAAUUGGCUCGACUCUUCACUUUGCUGGAAGUAUUCAUCAUCAAAUCGACCAUCUACGAAAUUCAUGUAUCAGAGGAAGUUUUAACGUAUGAAUGAUAAGAAACCAACCACCACAGAAUAUAAAAAUGUAAUAUUUAGCGGCUAAACAAAGACAAUUAAUCACCUGAAUCAAACUUGAUAUUAUUAUUUGUACGAGAGGCUGAAGCUGC
rnacentral:lncRNA from 1 species